rnacentral:precursor_RNA from 9 species
GUUGUGUAGAACAACGAAGAGAGUGCUCGACGCCUGGAACUUAGACUCAACCUCAGUGUAAUUGCGUAGGUGAGCAAAGUUUCAGGUGUUCGAGCGCCUUCUUUCGUUCGCACCUUCCCC